rnacentral:lncRNA from 1 species
UCGGUCUUACGCAGCUCAGCUCGGUCACCUACCUUGCUGAGGUCUUGAACAAGAUUCAAACUCUUUGGCCUUACUGUCGUUUCGUCAAAUCAGCCGGUUCUUGAGGUGCCGAGUCAUUUUCUGAGCUCGGUCACCUACCUCACUGAGGUCUUGAACAAGAUUCAGGCUUUUUGGCCUUACUGUUGCUUCGUUAUCUCAGCCGGUUUUUGAGGUGCCGAGUCAUUUUCUAAGCUCGGUCACCUACCUCACUGAGGUCUUGAACAAGAUUCAGUCUCUUUGGCCUUACUGUCGCUUCGUCAUCUCAGCCGGUUCUUGAGGUGCCGAGUCAUUUUCUGAGCUCGGUCACCUACCUCACUAAGGUCUUGAACAAGAUUCAGGCUCUUUGGCCUUACUGUCGCUUCGUCAUCUCAGCCGGUUCUUGAGGUGCCGAGUCAUUUUCUGAGCUCGGUUACCUAUCUCACUGAGGUCUUGAACAAGAUUCAGGCUCUUUGGCCUUAUUGUCGCUUCGUCAUCUUAGCCGAUUCUUGAGGUGCCGAGUCAUUUUCUAAGUUCAGUCACCUACCUCACUGAGGUCUUGAACAAGAUUCAGGCUCUUU